rnacentral:rRNA from 1 species
AUUGAACGCUGGCGGCAGGCCUAACACAUGCAAGUCGAGCGGGGUUUUCGGACCUAGCGGCGGACGGGUGAGUAAUGCGUAGGAAGCUACCCGAUAGAGGGGGAUACCAGUUGGAAACGACUGUUAAUACCGCAUAAUGUCUACGGACCAAAGUGUGGGACCUUCGGGCCACAUGCUAUCGGAUGCGCCUACGUGGGAUUAGCUAGUUGGUGAGGUAAUGGCUCACCAAGGCGACGAUCCCUAGCUGGUUUGAGAGGAUGACAAGCCACACUGGAACUGAGACACGGUCCAGACUCCUACGGGAGGCAGCAGUGGGGAAUAUUGGACAAUGGGCGCAAGCCUGAUCCAGCCAUGCCGCGUGUGUGAAGAAGGCCUUCGGGUUGUAAAGCACUUUCAGUAGGGAGGAAGCGUUGUGUGUUAAUAGUACACAGCGUUGACGUUACCUACAGAAGAAGCACCGGCUAACUCUGUGCCAGCCGCCGCGGUAAAAC